rnacentral:tRNA from 1 species
AAUUAAAUGGCUGAAGAUUAGGCAAUAGACUGUAAAUCUAUUUAUAAGAGUUAUUCUUUUUAAUUA